UUGGUCAAGCUACCAAGGGUCUAUGAAGGAUGACUUGGUUAGGUGAGGCGAUGAAGGACGGGGUAAGCACCGAUAUGUCCCGGGGAGCCGCAAACAGGCUUUGAUCCGGGAAAAUCCGAAUGGGACAACCUGCCGCCGGUUAUACGGCGGCAUCCCCGCGAUGAAUACAUAGUCGUGGGGAAGCGAACCAGGGGAAUUGAAACAUCUAAGUACCCUGAGGAAGAGAAAUCACCGAGAUUCCCCCAGUAGCGGCGAGCGAAGAGGGAAGAGUCUAAACCUUGUUUUCCGCAAGGAGAACAAGGGGUUGCGGGACCUCAAUGUAGGAUUGCCGAGGGAUAGUGGAAGCGCCUGGAAAGGCGUGCCAUAGAGAGUGAAAGCCUCGUACACGAAAUUCCAAAGCACCUUAGGGGUAUCCCAAGUACCACGGGACACGGGGAAUCCUGUGGGAAUCCGGGCCGACCACGGUCCAAGACUAAAUACUACACCUAAACCGAUAGUGUACAAGUACCGUGAGGGAAAGUUGAAAAGAACGCUGGUGAAGCGAGUGAAAUAGAACCUGAAAUCAUAGACCUACAAGCGGUGGGAGGGCUAUGCUCCGCGCAAGCGGAGAAUGCCUGACCGCGUACCUUUUGCAUAAUGGUCCGACGAGUUGUUGUGCGAUGCGAGCUUAAUCUUGCCUAAAAGGCGGAGGAGGCGUAGCGAAAGCGAGUCCUAAUUGGGCGACCAGUAUCGUAUAACAGACCCGAAGCUGAGUGAUCUACCCAUGACCAGAGUGAAGCUUUCCGAAAGGAGAGUGGAGGCUCGAACCCGUCGGCGUUGAAAAACCGUGGGAUGAGUUGUGGGUUGGAGUGAAAGGCUAAACAAACUCAGAAAUUGCUGGUUCUCCCCGAAAUAUUUCUAGGGAUAGCGUCAGGUAACUGAGUAUUGGGGGUAGAGUGCUGAAUGGGUUGCAGAGCCUUACCGGGCUACUGAACCCAACCAAACUCCGAAUACCAAUAUUUGUAUCCUGGCAGUAAGACGCCGGGGGCUAAGCUCCGGCGUCAAAAGGGUAUCAGCCCAGACCAACAGCUAAGGUCCCUAAGGAUAGGCUAAGUGGUAAAGGAUGUGAUCUCGCGUAGACAACCAGGAUGUUGGCUCAGAGGCAGCCAUCAUUUAAAGAGUGCGUAACAGCUCACUGGUCGAGCGACCUCGCGCCUAAGAUGAUCGGGGCUUAAGCCUAUUACCGAAGCUUUGGAUUUUACGCCGCAAGGCGUAAAGUGGUAGGGGAGCAUCGUCUGGCAGGUUGAAGCUGUACCGUGAGGAGCAGUGGACGCCAGACAAGGGAUUAUGUCGGAAUGAGUAGCGAAUACACCUGCGAGAAACAGGUGCGCCGAAAGUCUAAGGUUUCCUGGGGAAGGUUAAUCCACCCAGGGUUAGUCGGCCCUAAGCCGAGGCUAUACAGCGUAGGCGAUGGACAGUCCGUUAAUAUUCGGAUACCAGCUAGGCAGCGUUAUACCCUUGACAUGACGCGAGGUGUGUUUGGGUCGGCCGAGUGUUGGACGUCUCGGUUCCCGCUAGAGAAAUUUGGCGGGGGGACCCCAAGCGUUAGCGCGGGGGAAGUGCUCUAAAACGUGCUGCCAAGAAAAGUGUCAAGGGAAGUUGCUUAGUUGUCCGUACCGUAACCCGACACAGGUAGACCUCCAAAAUAUGGUAAGGCGCUCGAGAUAACCCUCGUUAAGGAACUCUGCCAUUUAGCCCCGUACGUUCGCAAGAAGGGGUGCCCUUCGCUGAAAGGCGUAAGGGCCACAGUAAAGUGGCUCGGGUGACUGUUUAGCAAAAACACAUGUCUCUGCAAACUCGAAAGAGGAAGUAUAGGGACUGACACCUGCCCGGUGCUGGAAGGUUAAGGAGAGGGGUUAGUGAUUCGUAAGAUGAGCGAAGCCUCGAACCGAAGCCCCAGUAAACGGCGGCCGUAACUAUAACGGUCCUAAGGUUUUGAUGGAAUUUCAAAGCCCUUUAUGCUGGUAACGGCAUAUCGAAUCCAACUAUAUCGGUGGAACCCCGGUUUUUCUGGGCAAUACCGAGGGAAGUCGUAAAUGACCCCGUAGAGACUACACGUUGGCUCCGCCUUAGGCGGAUGAAGAUAUAGUCCAUGCCAAUAGUAAUAUUGGAACGACAUGAGCGAAAUUCCUUGUGGGGUAAGUUCCCACGCGCACGAAUGGUGUAACUACCUGAGCGCUGUCUCAACGAGGGACUCGGCGAAAUUGUAGUGGCGGUGAAGAUGCCGUCUACCCGCAUCAAGACGAAAAGACCCCAGAACCUUUACUGCAGCCUGCUAUUGAAUUUUGGUCCAAUAUGUGUAGCAUAGGUGGGAGGCUUUGAGGCUCAGGCGCUAGCUUGGGCAGAGCCACAAUGUGAAAUACCACCCUUAUUGUAUUAAGAUUCUAACCACCAGCCGUGAAUCCGGCGGAGGGACAGUGACAGGUGGGCAGUUUGACUGGGGCGGUUCCCUUCUAAAAGAUAACGAAGGGGCCCCAAGGUUGGCUCAGGGCGGUCGGCAAUCGCCCGUGGAGCGCAAGCGCACAAGCCAGCUUGACUGCGAGUCGGAUACGACGAGCAGGUACGAAAGUAGGGGCUAGUGAUCCGGUGGUUGAAUGUGGAAUCGCCAUCGCUCAACAGAUAAUAGGUACUCUGGGGAUAACAGGCUUAUCGGGCUCGAGAGUUCACAUCGACAGCCCGGUUUGGCACCUCGAUGUCGGCUCAUCCUAUCCUGGGGCUGUAUAAGGUCCCAAGGGUCCGGCUGUUCGCCGGUUAAAAGGGUACGCGAGCUGGGUUCAGAACGUCGUGAGACAGUAAACUGACCGUUGCUGUCUUUAAAUCUGGCUAAUUGCUGGAAAAUCUGAGUAUCCCAUGUUACUACUUGACGAUUAGUCUCUAUAUGAGAAAAUGAGUCAAAGAGUGAAAAUGCAUGGGUGCAGACAAUCAGCAGGAAAGGCCAAGCGGGAUAGCGUCAUAUUACAUCACCGGCUUUGUUGACGGAGAAGGUUGCUUUUCGGUCACAAUCCAGAAAAGCAAUAAUGUGAAGCUUGGGAUUCAAGUUAUUCCUGAAUUUCACGUUUCGCAGCACCAAAACAGGACUGAGGUCCUUGAGGAGAUAAAGAGAGUGUUAGGCUGUGGUUAUAUUAAGGCCAACAAUCCUCAAAAUCCCAAAGAUUUGACUUCUGUAUAUGUGGUGCGGAAUUUAAAAGAUAUCCAAAACAAAGUUGUGCCGUUCUUCAGGAAAUUCCCUUUUAUCUCUAUUAAGCAGCAUGAUUUUAAAAAAUUUGCUGAAGUAGUGGGGCUUAUGGGGAAAGGUAAGCAUCUUGAAAAGGACGGCUUAGCAAAAAUACUAAAGCUGGCUUUCUCAAUGAAUUUCGGCGGAAAGUAUCGGAAGCUGCGAUUAAGUGAUGUGCUAUCCUGGUUGGAAUCUUCAGAGACUGUACGCCAGAAACUUGCCGAAAGGCAAGUAUAAGAUACAGUCCGAACUGCAUAGCGAUAUGCAGAGAGUAGCAGAAAUGCCUACUCCCUCUACGCAGUAAUGUAGAGAGUAACAAUAUUGUCGGUCUCUAUCUGAUGUGGGCGCAAGGAUACUUGAAGGGGAGUUUUCUUCAGUACGAGAGGACCUAGAAAAACGAACCUCUGAUGUUCCGGUUGUCCUGCCAAGGGCAAAGGCCGGGUAGUUAUGUUCGGAAGGGAUAAACGCUGAAAGCAUCUAAGUGUCAAGCCCCCCCCAAGAAUAGGUAUCCCUGGGCCGCAAGGCCCUGUAGGCUGGUCGUAGACUACGACCUUGAUAGGCGUAAGGUGUAAGACCCGUAAGGGUUUUAGCUAAUACGUACUAAUCAGCCAAUCGGCUUGGCCUU
rnacentral:rRNA from 1 species